rnacentral:rRNA from 1 species
CGGUAAUACGUAGGGGGUGAGCGUUGUCCGGAUUUACUGGGUGUAAAAAGCGCGCAGGCGGGUUAGCAAGUCAGAGGUGAAAUCCUACAGCUUAACUGUAGAACUGCCUUCAAGACUGCUAAUCUUGAGUACGGAAGAGGGGAAUGGAAUUCCGCGUGUAGCAGUGAAAUGCGUAGAUAUGCGGAGGAACACCGAUGGCGAAGGCAAUCCCCUGGGUCUGCACUGACGCUCAUGCACGAAAGCGUGGGGAGCAAACAGGAUUAGAUACCCCGGUAGUCCACGCCCUAAGCGAUGUCAACUGGUUGUUGGGUCUUCACUGACUCAGUAACGAAGCUAACGCGUGAAGUUGACCGCCUGGGGAGUACGGCCGCAAGGUUGAA